CACGUAGGGACCAAGCGUUGUCCGGAUUCAUUGGGCGUAAAGAGCUCGUAGGCGGCUCAGUAAGUCGGGUGUGAAACCUCCAGACUCAACCUGGAGACGCCACCCGAUACUGCUGUGGCUAGAGUCCAGUAGGGGAGCGUGGAAUUCCUGGUGUAGCGGUGAAAUGCGCAGAUAUCAGGAGGAACACCAGCGGCGAAGGCGCGUUUCUGGGCUGCAUCUGACGCUGAGGCGCGAAAGCUAGGGGAGCAAACAGG
rnacentral:rRNA from 1 species